rnacentral:rRNA from 1 species
UACGGAGGGUGCGAGCGUUGAUCGGAAUUACUGGGCGUAAAGCGUGCGCAGGCGGCUUGUUAAGUCAGGUGUGAAAGCCUCCGGCUUAACCGAGGAAGUGCGUUUGGAACUGCGAUGCUCGAGUGUAGGAGAGGGGAGCGGAAUUCCCGGUGUAGAGGUGAAAUUCGUAGAUAUCGGGAGGAAUACCGGUGGCGAAGGCAGCUCUCUGGGCUAAUACUGACGCUGAGGCGCGAAAGCGUGGGGAGCAAACAGG